rnacentral:rRNA from 1 species
ACAUGCCUACAUCAUAGUGUUAAUGCGCUGAAUCCCAUUAGAACUCCGCAAUCAAGUGCACUCAUGCUAGAGUAGUACUAGGAUGGGUGACCGCCUGAGAAGUUCUAGUAUUUUACAUGCC